rnacentral:rRNA from 1 species
GCUCACGUUAAAGCUAGCGCAAUGCUGUAAAGACAGCAAAGGCUUUGAUGGGAGGGUGAGAGAGCGAGCGAGUCGAGUCGGUGAGCGAGUGCGUCGGUGAGCGAGCGGCCGAGGGCUUGGGGAUCGAGUGGCGGCGGCCGCGGGGAGGCAGAGUGCGCAGCGGCCGCGGAGAUGCGGCGUGCGUCGCGGAGGCGGAGAGGGAGAACGCAGCAGCGGCGGAAAGGUACAACGGUAUGCGGCAGCGGAGAGGGAGAAGUUCUAAAUUAAAAAUGAGGCCGCCGACCUAGACUUCGCGUCGACGAGGUGGAAGGAGUCCCACCGCCCCUAGAGGCCGCGAACCUAGACUUCGCGUCGACGAGGUGGAAGGAGUCCCACCGCCCCUAGAGGCCGAGCGACGCGUCCCCUUCCCGGGCUGGCGGCCGCCGGCGACGCCCGUCUUCCCCUUGACGCAGCCGCUGUAGCAGCCGCAGCCGCAGGGUCCCUGUCCCGUGCCGCCGUGCGUGACGCCCGGGUACGUGUCCGUGUGGCACGGCAACGGCAGCAGGCGGUCGCGCGGCGACCGGCUGUCCUCGUCGGUGUCGGUGCGCCGGUGCUGCUCGUCCUGGCGGCGCUGCCAAGCACGUCAGGGCGCUCCUGGCGCGGCACACCCUACGGCUCUACUGCAACGGCCUCUUCCUCAGAGGCUGAUGGAGUGCGGGCGGCGGCCGGACGUGUAGUCCAGCGGCUAGGACAUGCGGCCACACUCGUCGGACCCGACGGGCCCACGAGCGGCAGGACGUCGUGUGGUGCCGCGCUGUACCCCACCACCUCCGGCUCGAGUGGGUCCAGCUCUGGUAUGCCACCGUCAUCCUCCUCUGACUCGUGGUACCGCCACACCCACGGCUAACUUUUAGUGGUCGCUCAGGAUGAAGUUGACGCUACGUUAUAUUAAACUAGCUUUUCCCUACCGUACGACUCCACAUGUUUCCUGUCGAACGACUACCUGUCAAACACCGUUAAGUUCGAAUGACAUAGGACUUUAAGUUCGAAUGACAUAGGAAUAUAUUGACCUCAUGUUACAACAUCGAAGUGAACAGAAGGUCAGUUUAUGAGUACAUGAGGUUGAAAUUGACCUCAUCUGGGGUUGAAUUAGUAUUAGUUAACAACGGACACCACGAUAUAAUCAAGAUGGUUCAACUACCAAAGCAAUUCAACGUACAUGGGACUUAAGUUCAUUUAAUUCGACGUACAUGGUUCAACUCAUAAAUUGAAAAAAAACUUUUUCUCCUAUUGGGGGCCGGAGACGUAGUCUUACAACGCGCCCUCCGGCUCCGCCCGUCCGCGGCGACCACCGAGACGACCCGGGCGGAACCGCUGCGGAUGCGGUUCUGGAAGAUGGAGCCACUCGGGGAGUGAGACGUUGAGACUAAAUUUUACCCAAGAGACUAGGUCAUGACAUCAAGCUACACAUCAAGAACUAGGUCAUGACAUCAAGCUACUCAUUAAAAGACAGGCCUCUACUACUCGUCUCGUAUUUUUACUAACGAAUAGACAUAUGACGACGACAACAAAUUUUCCGAGUUCCAGAAGAAGUCAAUUAAUCCUCAUGAAAUCACAUCCUCAUAAGGUCUAAAUCACAUCCUCAUUUUAAUUGACUUAGGAAAAAGUCAAUUAAUUUUAAUCGACUUAAGAACGAAGAGAGAAGAAAAAGAGAAGAGAAUGUAAUCAAGUUCUAGAAGAAGUCAAUUAAUCCUCAUCACGUCCUGAUUUUCGAACGUUUUUCUGGUUUAGUCUAAAUCGUGAACGUCAUCAUACCGUGAACAUGAUUAUAAAGACAAAUGAGGACAAUUAUAACGAUCACAAAUUAAGACAAUUAUAACGAUCACAAAUGAGUAAAGUUAAUCACGAUUACAAAUGAGGUACAGUUAUAACGAAAAUGACAGUAUCAGUAGAAUAAACUUGGAAUUCCGAAACACGUGGAAUAAGCUUGAAAGUCUUUGGUCAAAUUAAAAGAAUCCACUUGAGUAUUAUACUGUUAACAAAGUCUUUGUUGUGGGAAAAGUCAUGUAGUUAAGACGAAAAAGAACAGUUCUUUGUUGUGGGAAAAGUCAUGUAGUAGACGUUUAAACUAAGUGAAUCACAAUGAGGAUUGACUUAAGGAAACCGUAACACUUUCUUUCUCUUGAGCUCGGUUCCACUACCACUACCUUUACUUACUUUUUUUCUCUUCGACCAUUUCACUGGAUUGAUGGUAAAAAUUUGGUUCUGAAAGACAAAACACUGACUAGAAAGACAAAACUUUAACACGGGACCGACUUAAAAGAGUUAACAUUAAGACAACCACCCCUGUGAGUUCUAUGACAUUAAAACAUGGGUGUGGAUCGCUGUUACAUGUCCACAUGUGAUGAGGUAAUGGUUUUGUAAAACUAUAGGACCAACUGACUAAAGGACUCACAAAGGUUUUGAUCGUCUAGUACUAGAACUAUAGCUAUAUGACGAUCAUAUGGUAAUGGUUUUAUAAAACUAUAGGACUAACUAACUAAAGAACUCAUUUGCAAAGGUUUUGAUCGUCUAGUUCUAACUUGCAAAGGUUUUCAUUGUACUAGUUAAUUGUACGAAGGACUAAAGAACUAACUUAAAGGUUUUCAUUGUACUUGUUAAAACGUCCUCACGGAUGGUGUUUCUACUCGUCUUCGUCCCCUCAAGCGACCCUACCUCCGCGACCACCGGACCGGCACCGGCACCUCCUCCACCCCCGCCUCCUCAACUCGCUACCGGUCCCGAUCCGCCCCGUCCUCCACUCGCGACCGGACCUCCUCGGGCCGCCUCUUCAUCCCCGCUGCUCCCCGGACCGCCUCCCGGUUUCUCCUCGCGACCGGACCUCCUCGGGCCGCCUCUUCGUCCGCGCUGCUCCCCGGACCGCCUCCCGGUUUCUCCUCGCGACCGGACCUCCUCGGGCUGCCUCUUCGUCCCCGCUGCUCCCCGGACCGCCUCCCGGUUUCUCCUCGCGACCGGACCUCCUCCCGGUUUCUCCUCGCGACCGGACCUCCUCGGGCCGCCUCCCCUUUCUCCUCGCGACCGGACCUCCUCGGGCCGCCUCCCCGCGACCGGACCUCCUCGGGCUGCCUCCCCGGACAACGUCGCGACGGAGCGCCUACCUCCUCCUUCUGCUAGACAAAAGUUUGAUCCCCAUAAAUACAUGAAAACAUGCAAAAGUGGACCAGCCUCUCUUGAGGGUUGCUGUUAAUAAAGCCUUUACCUCCCUCAUCAUCAAAUGCAUCGACCCGUUCCAUCCGACUCAACAACCCGAAGUUUUUAAGUUGAGAAAAACGAACAAAUAAUGCAUCGACCCGAGCGAUGUCCG